AUUUUUGUCUGGACUAAGGCUGCGCUCUGCCAUUGGAUAAAAUGUUGUUCCAUUCCACAACAUAUUUUUAUACUCGUAAGAUAAAUACUUGUAUGAAAUGGCAAAAAUGAGAAUAAGGUGGUGGACACGGCUUGACGGAUCAAAGUCAGUAGGAAUUUGCAUCAAGUAUACCUUCAAUAGUUUGAAGCUGAAUUGUGACAUCCAGACAAGUACUUGUGUUGUCGACACAGUACUUAUAAAGCCCGAAGUGAAAAUCAUCUGUUUCCACCCAGUAGUCCGUCAACAACGCAUAUAGGAGACACGAAAUCUUCAGAGGAUACAUAACAAUCAGAAAGCAUAGAAACUGUCGUUCCUUUUUCAUGUUUAGAAACUUCCCUCUUUUUCGGCUUGAAAAUUGUCUAUACUUUCGGUUCAAACUGGUCGGCGUCUUCUUCUUUUUUUGAUGAUUGAAGGUCUAUAAAUAUUGUGUGUUAACUUCCCGAAUACACAACAAAAGACAGGCUUUGAAAUAUCAUUGCAUGUUUUGGAACUUUAAAUCUUUAGAACAUACGUGCAGUCGAAAAAUCUUACAGCUUAAUAAAAAAAAAUACAACAUGCAUUUUGCGAUACAUUACAGGCACUAAUGUAUCUUUACUCCGAUCAUACAUACAAUGGUUAAGAAUUGUUUCAUUUUCGUCACUUGAUGGCUUUAUUAUUCUGACCAAAUGUCAGAAUUGAAUUGUUUAAAGCUGCGAUGUUACAUUUUGGCAAGUGCUUAUCUUGUCAACACAAAAUUUAUAUAACUUUAAGUGGUAACCAUCUUCAUCUUCCUAAUAUUCCGUAAUUAAAGCACCAAUGAGACAAGAAAACUUGAUAAUAUAAACCACAACCAAAGAGCUUAGUAACCGUUGCCGCUUCUCCAUACUCGGAAAUGUAGGUUUUGUUAUACCUUUAAUCUUGAUUAUUUUCAAGUCACAAGACUCAAGGAAGCAUAUUUUCAAAUCGGUUAAAUUCAUUUUUAACUUUUUAUGCCUUUACUAAAGUCUGAUAUAUUAAAAAAAAUUCAAUAUUAUUCUUGUUAGAUGAACAAUUCUUUCAGAUAAAUAUUUAAUAUGGCAUUUUAACAAUAAGAUUGAUAAAUAUUUAGCAAGCUCAUUUUAAAAAAAAAAAUUUUGAAGCCAGUGCACUUCUUUGUGAAUGAAAAUCGAAGCUGAAAGUUCUGUUGAAAAGAUCAAACAAAUUAUUUUAUUCUUUGUUUGAAUUGUUCUGUACACUACAUGUAUUUGACCAGUCUAGUCGGACUCCCGAAGCAAUUUAGACUCCGUUUUCGGAGUCUACGCAUGCGCAUUAUUACAGAACAUGGCGAUUUUUCGAUGUACAAGAAAUCAUCUUGCAAAGUGCUGCAUGCGAAUAUAAUUUUACUAUUAUAUCUCCAAAGUUGGAUGUUUGGACGAUACUUGAGAAGCGAUAUUUUUUAUUUUUUUAUGGAAUUGUAUCGUUAAUAAAGAUUAAAUUGC
rnacentral:sRNA from 1 species